rnacentral:tRNA from 4 species
UCCGCCGUGGUGUAAUGGCAGCACGGGGCCCUUUGAAGGCCUUUGUCUAGGUUCGAGUCCUAGCGGCGGAG